rnacentral:rRNA from 1 species
CCAAUAGCGUAUCUUAAAGUUGUUGCAGUUAAAAAGCUCGUAGUUGAACUUCGAGAUUCGUCCAUUGGUCAGGCUUAACUGUCUGUACUGAUGUUUCGGAUUUCUACCUUCUGAAGAACCUUCAUGUCAUUAAUUUGGUGUGUUGGGGAAUCAGGACUGUUACUUUGAAAAAAUUAGAGUUUUUAAAGCAUGCUAACGUCUGAAUACAUUAGCAUGGAAUAAUGAAAUAGGACGGUACGGUUCUAUUUUGUUGGUUUCUAGGAUCGCCGUAAUGAUUAAUAGGGAUAGUUGGGGGCAUUAGUAUUCAAUUGUCAGAGGUGAAAUUCUUGGAUUUAUUGAAGACUAACUACUGCGAAAGCAUUUGCCAAGGAUGUUUUCAUUAAUCAAGAACGAAAGUUAAGGGAUCGAAGACGAUCAGAUACCGUCGUAGUCUUAACCAUAAACUAUGCCGACUAGGGAUUGGACGAUGUUAAUUUUUAAAUGACUCGUUCAGCACCUUACG